AGUGAACGCUGGCGGUAGGCCUAACACAUGCAAGUCGAACGGCAGCACAGUAAGAGCUUGCUCUUACGGGUGGCGAGUGGCGGACGGGUGAGGAAUACAUCGGAAUCUACUUUUUCGUGGGGGAUAACGUAGGGAAACUUACGCUAAUACCGCAUACGACCUACGGGUGAAAGCAGGGGAUCUUCGGACCUUGCGCGAUUGAAUGAGCCUAUGUCGGAUUAGCUAGUUGGCGGGGUAAAGGCCCACCAAGGCGACGAUCCGUAGCUGGUCGGAGAGGAUGAUCAGCCACACUGGAACUGAGACACGGGCCAGACUCCUACGGGAGGCAGCAGUGGGGAAUAUUGGACAAUGGGCGCAAGCCUGAUCCAGACAUACCGCGUGGGUGAAGAAGGUCUUUGGGUUGUAAAGCCCUUUUGUUGGGAAAGAAAAGCAGCAGGUUAAUACCUCGCUGUUCUGACGGUACCCGAAGAGUAAGCACCGGCUAACUUCGUG
rnacentral:rRNA from 1 species